rnacentral:rRNA from 1 species
GUGACCUCAAAUCAGGUAGGACUACCCGCUGAACUUAAGCAUAUCAAUAAGCGGAGGAAAAGAAACUAACAAGGAUUCCCCUAGUAACUGCGAGUGAAGCGGGAAAAGCUCAAAUUUAAAAUCUGUCAGUCUU